CACACUCCGAUAAAAUUGUACCUACCCGUAAAAAGAACCCAUAAGAGCCCGCCAAGCAAGGAUACCUGGUUAGAAAACUCUACCCAAUUCAGAUGUCUAAUGCCUCCUAAAUUUGAAAUGUAGGUUACUAAUUAGAUUUGCAGCGUCUUUGAAUUUUUACAGAUCCAGAUUCACUGGAGAACCUAAAGUUUCACCAAGCCUAAGGACAGAAAUAUUGCAGGUCAACACAGUUUUAUACAAGAAUUAGGUCACUUAUGGACUUUUCCUAAAUUUUGUACUUGCCCAAUGGUCCUAAAAAUUUACAGGAGCAUUAAGGCUCAAAUUAGGGACAUAAAAAAAAAUCCUAAAAAUUUACCAACCUAUUUUGGUUAUUUUUCAAUAGGGUCUCUACAGCUAGGUUUGAAACUUUGCCAUAUGGCAAAAAAAAUAAAAUAAUAAUAAUAAUAAAAAUCAAAGAAA